UACGUAGGGUGCGAGCGUUGUCCGGAAUUACUGGGCGUAAAGAGCUCGUAGGUGGUUUGUCGCGUUGUUCGUGAAAACUCACAGCUUAACUGUGGGCGUGCGGGCGAUACGGGCAGACUGGAGUACUGCAGGGGAGACUGGAAUUCCUGGUGUAGCGGUGGAAUGCGUAGAUAUCUGGAGGAACACCGGUGGCGAAGGCGGCGUUCUGGACUGCAACUGACACUGAGAAACGAAAGCCAGGGUAGCAAACGGG
rnacentral:rRNA from 1 species